UUUUUUUUUUUUUUUUUUUUUUUGAGACAGAGUCUUGCUCUGUCACCCAGGCUGGAGUGCAGUGGCGAUCUCGGCUCACUGCAAGCUCUGCCUCCCAGGUUCAUGCCAUUCUCCUGCCUCAGCCUCCAGAGUAGCUGGGACUACAGGUGCCCGCCACCACGGCCGGCUAAUUUUUUGUAUUUUUAGUAGAGGCAGGGUUUCACCAUUUUGGCCAGGCCGGUCUUGAACUCCCAACCUCAGGUGAUCUGCCUGCCUCAGUCUCCCAAAGUGCUGAGAUCACAGGCGUGAGCAACUGAGCCUGGCCUGGACAUGAGUUUCAAUCCCGGCUCGGCCACUUACAGCUGUGUGAACUUGAGAGUUAGGUGGCCUCUCUUCACAUCACUUUCCUAAUCUGCAAGAUGGGGAUACUGCUGCUUACCCCAUAGGGAUCUUAAAAGAUUAAAUGACAUGGUAUAUAUGAAAGACCCUAGCAUGGGCCCUGCCACAUUGCAACUUAGCCAGUAACUUAGGCCAUAUCCUAAGCAAGGCUGUAUUGAAGUCACAGGCAAAACCAGCUGUGAAAGAGCCUGGUUCUCAGGCUUCUCCUUGGAGGGCAGCCAAGACUGUCACAGACACAUCCCACAUCAAGGCCCCCUCAGUGGUAAAAGCAAGAGGACCUUGUAUCUCCAUGCUGUGGACACUCCUUUUAUUUGGUGACCACCUGAUAAACACUUGCUGACCCUCCAGGACUGGGGUUCCAGGGCUACAUCACCCAUCUCUAGCAGCUCUCUAAGGCCCUGAAAUGAGAGUGUUUCCUCCCCUUCGAGGUCUCCUCCAUCAUCCAUCCAAUGGUUUAGCACUUGAUUACUCUAAAAAAAAAAAAAAAAAGGAUCUUGCUCUGUGGCCCAGUCUGGAGUGCAGUAGUGUGAUCAUGCCUCACUAUAGACUGGAACUCCUGGGCUCCAGUGAAUCUGCCACCUCAGCCUCCUGAGUAGCUAGGGCCACAGGCAUGCACCACCAUGUCCAGAUAGUUUUUUCACUUUUUUGUAGAGAUGGGGUCUCCCUAUGUUGCCCAGGCUGCUCUCAAACUCCUGGACUCAAGUGAUGCUCCCACUUCAGCCUCCCAAAAUGCUGGUAUUACAGGCAUGAGCCACUGUGCCCAGCCUAGACUGCUUUUAAAGGUAAUUAUCAUGUGCUCAUCUCUGUGCUAAACUAAAACACCUGAUUGGGAUGGAAGGCUGGGGUAAACAGAAGCAGGGGUGAGGGAAGGAGCUCAUCUCGGGCUGAGGCUUUGGUUUUCUGUCUUAGAGGCCAUGUGCUCCCUGCUAAGGCAGAGCUGAGAAGCUGGGAAUAGGCUGGGAUGCUCUUACUUCACUUGGUCUCCUGAGUACAGUCUCCAUGCUUGUUGUUACAUAAUUUAUAUUAAAAUUCCUGGAAACGCAGCUAGAAGAGUAACUCCCAAAGGAACCCUGAGGCAUGAAUGCUGAGGUUGAAAGCUUUCCAUCUAAACUGUGUCUCCAAGUGCUG
rnacentral:lncRNA from 1 species